rnacentral:rRNA from 1 species
GUGAAACUGCGAAUGGCUCAUUAAAACAGUUAUAGUUUAUUUGAUGAUUGAAGUCUACAUGGAUAACCGUGGUAAUUCUAGAGCUAAUACAUGCAUUCAGGCCUGACUCACGAAGGGCUGUAUUUAUUAGAUAUGAAGCCAAUAUUCCGCAAGGUCUAUUGUGGUGAAUCAUAGUAACUGAUCGGAUCCCCAACUGGGGAUAGAUCAUUCAAGUUUCUGCCCUAUCAGCUUUCGAUGGUAGUGUAUUGGACUACCAUGGCAGUAACGGGUAACGGAGAAUUAGGGUUCGGUUCCGGAGAGGGAGCCUGAGAAACGGCUACCACAUCUAAGGAAGGCAGCAGGCGCGUAAAUUACCCAAUGCAGAUUCUGCGAGGUAGUGACAAUACAUAACAACCUGGGGUCUCACGACUUACGGGAUUGCAAUGAGAACAAUUUAAAAACCUUAACGAGGAACAAGUGGAGGGCAAGUCUGGUGCCAGCAGCCGCGGUAAUUCCAGCUCCACUAGCGUAUAUUAAAGUUGUUGCAGUUAAAAAGCUCGUAGUUGAACUUCUGGUUGUGCGCCAGUGGUCGGUCUUCGAUCGCCCUGGGUGCAGCCAUCCGUCUGCAAACUUUUACAUCCUUAACUGGUUUGUCUAAGGGAGCAGGCAUUUUACUUUGAAAAAAUUAGAGUGUUUAAGGCAGGCACAAGCCGCUGAAUACAUUAGCAUGGAAUAAUGGAAUAGGACGUCUUGUCCAUUUGAUUGGUUAUUGGACUUGCGUAAUGAUAAUAGGGACAGUUGGGGGGCAUUAGU